UACAGAGGGUGCAAGCGUUAAUCGGAAUUACUGGGCGUAAAGCGUGCGUAGACGGUUAUGUAAGUCGGGUGUGAAAGCCCCCGGGCUCAACCUGGGGAAUUGCAUUCGAGACUGCAUAGCUAGGGUGCGGAAGAGGGAAGCGGAAUUUCCGGUGUAGCGGUGAAAUGCGUAGAUAUCAGGAGGAACACCAAUGGCGAAGGCAGCUCGCUGGGACGUGACUGACGCUGAGACGCGAAAGCGUGGGGAGCAAACAGG
rnacentral:rRNA from 1 species